rnacentral:tRNA from 1 species
GCGAGCGUGCCGAAAUGGUAGCCGGGUGAAUCUUAGGCAUUCAUGAUUUUUUAUUGUAAGAGUUCAAGUCUCUUUGCUCGUA